UCAAUCCUGAAGUGUUCGUUAUUUGCCAAUCAGUUUUGACCGAACAUUUUAUCGUCGGGAGUCUGCGUUUCGAUUAGAAUGACAUGCCUUUAAAUAGGACGUCAAAGGAAUCGAAUAGGACACCCACCUGCUGAGUGCGGGUUCAAAACGAUACUACAAAGACGGCACAUUCGGGAUUGUU
rnacentral:other from 1 species